UUCAAUUCCAAUGUUAAUUCAAACCUAUCUGCUUUCUUUUCAGUAUCAACAAUGUUAAAAAAACGUAUAAAGGGAAGGACAAGAUAGUGAAUGCUUUAAGAGGUUUGUUGCUUAAUGUCUAUGAAGGCCAGAUCACUGCAUUACUUGGUCACAGUGGAGCUGGGAAAAGUACGCUACUGAACAUCCUGAGUGGACUUUGUCCACCUUCAGAAGGCUCUGCCAUGAUAUAUAAAUACAAAGUGACUGAAAUGGAGGACUUGGAAGAAAUUAGGAAAAUAAUUGGAGUUUGCCCACAAUUUAACAUUCAGUUUGAAGUUUUAACAGUGAAAGAAAAUCUAAGGAUUUUUGCUAAAAUCAAAGGGAUUCGGCUAAAAGAGGUUGAACA